rnacentral:rRNA from 1 species
GACGAACGCUGGCGGCGUGCCUAACACAUGCAAGUGGAGCGACGAACCGGGCUUCGGCCCGGGCAAAGCCGCGAACGGGUGAGUAACACGUGGGUAACCUGCCCUGAUGAUCGGGACAACCCGAGGAAACUCGGGCUAAUACCGAAUGUGCCCUCCGGCCAUAAGGCCACUGGGGAAAGGAAGCUUCGGCCUCCGCAUCGGGAUGGGCCCGCGGCCCAUUAGCUUGUUGGUGAGGUAACGCUCACCAAGGCAAUGAUGGGUAGCUGGUCUGAGAGGACGAUCAGCCACACUGGGACUGAGACACGGGCCCAGACUCCUACGGGAGGCAGCAGUGGGGAAUCUUGCGCAAUGCGCGAAAGCGUGACGCAGCAACGCCGC